rnacentral:rRNA from 1 species
AUUCCAGCUCCAAUAGCGUAUACUAAAGUUGUUGCAGUUAAAAAGCUCGUAGUUGAAUUUCUGGUCGUGGCAACCGGUCCGCCCCUCACGGGGUGUGCACCAGGUUUCUGCGGCCAUCCUCGGGGAGAGCACAUCGGGCAUUCAGUUGUCUGGUGUGGGAUCCUCGUCAUUUACUGUGAGCAAAAUAGAGUGUUCAAAGCAGGCUUAGGCCGUUGAAUACAUUAGCAUGGAAUAAUAAGAUAGGACCUUGGUCUAUUUUGUUGGUUUGCAUUCCAAGGUAAUGAUUAAUAGGGAUAGUUGGGGGUAUUCGUAUUCAAUUGUCAGAGGUGAGAUUCUUGGAUUUGUUAAAGACUAACUUAUGCGAAAGCAUUUGCCAAGGAUGUUUUCAUUG